AUUUUUUUGUACUGUCUGGUUUGAACCGAUUGAAUUGAGAAGAUCUGAAUUGCAUCGGGUUUGCCUGGUGAUACCUUAGGUAUGUACGCAAAAAGACCGAGUAUGUUUUUCCUCGUAUAAAAAUUAUAGAAAUUCUGACAUGGAAAUGAUACCAUACUUUCUC